AUGUAUGUCGUAGCCGGUGAGUGCAAGACAGUGACUUUAGUGGACCGAUCAAGUUCCGCCAUUUACUUGCCACCUCCCUUUGGCAUCAAGGGUGGAUGGUGCAUCAAUGAGGGAAGUUUAGUUCGAGUUGGUGCUGUCUUCGGAGGUGACUGCCGUUGGUCAAGAUGCUUCAUGCUUAGUCUUGGACAUGCUCUUUCUGUGCUUUGUAGUUGUGUCGUCGGUAGUGAUUGUCUUCGCACUAGCCCUGGUGUGGAGUCUGCACUAUGCUUGUUGUCGCAACAAGUUGUAGUCGUCUUGUAA
rnacentral:rRNA from 1 species